UAGUGUAAACCUUCUCAAAGCAAGCAGUUUGAGUGACCAAAUUUAUUAUAAAAAUGGAGGAGAAGAACCAAGAAGUAUAUGAUGAUCUAAGCGAAAAUUCGUUACAAAGUAGUGAGGAGGAGCACUGUAGAAAAUAUUUAGAGAUGAAAGCAGAAGAAAAAAAAAAAAAAUAUGAAGAGAAGAAAAAAAAAAAAUUGUAAAGAGGAAAAGUGAUGAGGACGCUGAAAAGUAUGCGGAUAAAUUAAAAAAAACACAAGUUCAAAAGGAAAAUCAAAAUCAGAAAAAAAAAAAAGGAUACGAAAAAUUAGAACAACUCAACAAACUGUUCGAAAAAAAAGAAAAUCUAUAUAGACAAAAAAAUUCAGCAAUCUCCACUCUGCGAGAUUGCUCAAAUUGUCAACAGCAAAUAAAAAUCAGAAAUUCGGCUGAUGCCGAAAUAAGGAAAAUAAAACUUGAAAUCGAAACAUUAAAUGCGUCAAUGUGACGGCAUUAUAUGUGAAACUUGGAACUUUAAAAUUAAAUUUAAAAGUUCAUUAACAUAAGACAAUUAGUCAUUUAACAAUUAUCAUUUAAUAAUUUUCAUUUUAUAAUAUCUUUUAAAAAUUAUUAUUUAAUAAUUUAAAUUAUAAGUUCAGAAAAAUGUAAUGAUUUUCCUUAAUUU